rnacentral:rRNA from 1 species
AUACAGAGGGUGCAAGCGUUAAUCGGAAUUACUGGGCGUAAAGCGCGCGUAGGUGGUUCAGUAAGAUGGAAGUGAAAUCCCCGGGCUUAACCUGGGAACUGCUUUCAUAACUGCUGAGCUAGAGUACGGUAGAGGGUAGUGGAAUUUCCUGUGUAGCGGUGAAAUGCGUAGAUAUAGGAAGGAACACCAGUGGCGAAGGCGACUACCGGGACUAAUACUGAAACUGAGGUGCGAAAGCGUGGGGAGCAAACAGGAUUAGAUCCCCUGGUAGUACACGCCGUAAACGAUGUCAACUAGCCGUUGGGAACCUUGAGUUCUUAGUGGCGCAGCUAACGCACUAAGUUGACCGCCUGGGGAGUACGGUCGCAAGAUUAAAACUCAAAUGAAUUGGCGGGG